AUGAGAAAUUCCUGUGAGUGCUGCAAGAGAUACUGGAGUCAUUUGCAUGGAAAGGUCAAGUGUUUCUUCACCCACAUGGACAGAAACUCUAACCAUAGCAUGGUCAUACCAGAGAGCUUUGUGAACUAUUUCGGGUGGAAGCUGUCAGGAACCAUUGAACUAGAAGCCCCCAAUGGUAAUGUGUACGAUGUCGGAAUUACUGAGCGUAGGAACAAAACAGUACUCCGAUCUGGGUGGCAGGCGUUUGUCAAUGCCAAUCAUAUAGUAGAAAGCGACUCGCUGAUGUUCCGAUACCGUGGAAAUUGUCGCUUCAAGGUUGUGGUCUUUGAUUCUAGUGGCUGUGAGAAAGUGGUGUCAUGUACUGCUCGCAUGCAGAGCAAUAUCAAUGAUCAAGAACCAAGCACAAAUCUUACAGACAUUUCAACCAGUUCCAGUGAUGGUAAUACUCAUUCGUCAGCACGAGGACGAUCAUAUGAUUGGCAGAGUGGAAGCUCAGGCCACCAUAGAAAACGAGCAAAGAAAGACGCAUUAUCCUCACCUUCGGAGGAUUCGUCAGGAGAAGACAGUCCAUAUGAGCACGAGUCAUCUAAAUCGGAAGAUACUAAACGUAUUGGAAUAACACCCGAGCAUGAUGAUACAGACCCAUACAUGAUGUCACUGGGUGCCCGUCUAACGCAAGGGCAGAAGAAGAAAGUUCUGGAGAAAGUUGGAGCCAUUGCAUCAGAUCUGCACAUCUACGUCGCAGUCAUGACCACGACCAGUGUCCGCGUCUCUCUAACCUUUGCCACAAAAUACUGUGACACGUACCUUCGGAAGGGGAGCCGGAGUUUGGUGUUUCAGGCAGAGGGGAAGAGCCAGCAAUGGCAUGGUGAGUUGCACGACAACAAUCGUUCCCUGAGGAUAAGUGGAGGCUGGACUUCUUUUGCCAGCGACAACAACCUGCGGGAGGGGGACAUCUGCCUCUUCGAGCUGAUGAAAAACAAGGUGGGGCUGAAGCAGAAGAUGAUGGUCUAUAUCAUUCGCCGUGAGCGUUGCUAG
rnacentral:rRNA from 1 species